rnacentral:rRNA from 1 species
UACGAAGGGGGCUAGCGUUGUUCGGAAUUACUGGGUGUAAAGCGCGCGCAGGCGGUCUUCCAAGUCAGUGGUGAAAGCCCGGAGCUCAACUCCGGAAUUGCCAUUGAAACUGUUGGACUUGAGUACGAGAGAGGUGAGUGGAAUUCCCAGUGUAGAGGUGAAAUUCGUAGAUAUUGGGAAGAACACCGGUGGCGAAGGCGGCUCACUGGCUCGUAACUGACGCUCAAGCGCGACAGCGUGGGGAUCAAACAGG